UAAGAAUUGAAACCAUUUAAGAAAAAAACCCAGUAAUGUCUUUAUGAAUAUGAUAUCAUCUUGGUUUAAUUGCUAAUAUCUACAAAAUUUUAGAUUUCCAACAUCAUUCUGCCAGACGACAAAAGGUACAGUGACUAUGUACAGUCUGAAAGUGAAGCACAACAUGCAGUUAAAGAAACUGCACAAGAAAACAUUGUGAAGUCACAAGACAAGCAAAAGGUUGCAUACGCCAAGCGGGCCCUGAAAAAGUACAAAAAUGUUGUGUACAAUGUAGGGGAUCAAAUUCUGCUUCUAAAUAUGAGGAAACGUGGGCGAAAAGGAGGAAGACUUGAACCGGAUUUUUCAGGUCCCUACACAAUUGAUGACUUCAGUGGAAAAUGUGUUAGACUGAAAAACGCUGAGGGAAAUACUUUAAAAGGUCUAUACAGUAUUGACCACAUUAAACCCUAUAGAACAAGCCACCCUGUCCAAGUCUCAACUCCAGCUGAACCUGUUGAGAGUAGCCCAUCUUCUGAGAUGUGGCCUUGCAGUCCUCAGCAUCAACAUGAAGCGCUGCAAAAUAACAGAUCCUCUGUCAUUCAGUUUGCACCAAAAAUAGCUCAGGUAAAAUCAGUCCAAGCACCAGAAGAGCUUGUACCAGUGACCCCCCAGAAACCCAGCACGCAAGAAAAAGAUGGCAUAGCUAAAAAUCUCAUUCUGACCGGUUGGUCAAUUGUUGCCUGUUUGGCUAGUCAAAUGGAUAGAAUGUUUGAUUUUUUUCUCCCCUCUUGCUAAUUUUGACCUGUUGGUCCAAUUUUGGCUAAUUUCUGAUUUACAUAAAGCUACUCCCCUCUGGCAUGUUUAUGUUGUUGCCCCGUUGGCCCUUGUCUGCUUGUGGCCCGUUGGCCCUUGUCUGCUUGUGGCCCCGUUGGCCAUUGACCGUGAUUUUCAAAUGGCAACUGUUAUUACUAAAGAAACUUAUCAUAUUUUGUUUUUUAGUGAAGUGGCUUUGGGCUGCAAAAGACACCGGGCGUGUGGAGGCAGUCGUUGGGCCAUACAAAUUGUAUGACUCUUCUUUUCGCACACUGGAGGAUAGUGGGUGGCUUUCUGAUGAGGUCAUUGAUGCAUACCUGCACUGCCUCAUUAAGAAACAAAAGGCAAAACCCCGUGUAUCAGUUGUCUUGCGUUGUUGCAACCUCUCUGUUUUCUGUGAAGUUUAAAUGUGUCAGCAAGAUGUUGUUUCCGGCUGAGGACAUUUGGUUGUGCCCACUGAACUCUGGUGCACACUGGAUCCUUGUGGAAUUUUCUGAAGAUGAAAGGAAAGGAAGAGUCCCGAGUGGAUUGGAGAAUGGAGACUCUGCCACACAACAAGCAGAUGGACUCCAGCAGUUGUGGAGUUUUAGUAUUGAAGUUUGCCGAACACUACCUUCUGAGUGGAGAGGUUACUAGGGUGCUGUCCACUCCAGAAGCCAUUGGGCUGCACCGCACUGAAAUUGCUUGCGAACUGCUAGAACAUCAAAGUAAUGCUGAUGACUACUGUGUGGUUUGUUCCAUGCUGGAAGCCGAUCCUGAGUCCAGUAUGAUUGAAAUGGUGCAGUGCGAGUUUUGUUCCAGAUGGGCACAUUUUGGAUGUGCUCAAUAUGAGAGCAGCCUGGUCAAGUACCUGUGCGACAAAUGUGCAUAAUUUGUACACUGUUUCUUUUUCAGUUCUUUCUCCCUGUGUUCUGUUGGAUCUAUAAAUGUCAA
ensembl:lncRNA